rnacentral:lncRNA from 1 species
CCUAAGAGUUACCCGAAGCUCGGCAUCCGCGAUUGUCUAAGGGGCCUCCGAGACGUUCGGGCAGCGUCAGUCUUCAGCCGCCAAGCCGAGGAGAUCUGGGAAGGAGUCGGUGGGGAGCUUUGGGUUUGAGCUCCAGGAGCUCCGGAAGUGGCGAUGAGAGUCGGGCAGUCAGACUUCCAGUGAGGGCCCGCACAGGCGGGGCAUGGCUUAGGAGGAAUCCCAGGCUGCAGGCAUUCCUUGGCCCAGUGGCCAGGUUUUCAUCGCUUGAAGCAAAGUCCCAGAGGGGCUGUUGGAUGUUGCGUUUAGAUGCCUUGAAGUUCUUGCAGGUAGGCAGUGCAGCUGGGGUUUGUCUUAUGGCGGAGGCAAGCAUCUGUAGUUCUGAAAUGCGCUGUCGCCGGGCAGUCUCUUCCCUAUUAUUGAACACCUUGAAGGCGAGGUUGAUUAAUUCCUGUUGUGGGAUCUGAGAGCCAGACUCUAAUUUUUGAAGUUUCUUUCUACUGUCAGAAACUGACUGGGUAAUAAAAUGCAUGUUAAGAAUAAGGCGGCCUUCUAUCCCUUCAGGGUCUAGUGCUGUAUAUCGCCUGAGGGUGGCAGGUAGACAGGCCAUAAACUGAGCUGGAUUUUUAUCUUUGUUCUGAGUGGUUUUUUUUGUUUUUGUUUUUGUUUUUUAGUUUGUCAUAAUUGACGGCUUUAUAUGCAGCCUUCUGAAGCCCUUUAACUAGGCAAGAGAUCAUGUAGUCCCGCCUGGCUAUGCCUGGGUCCCAGGGCCUGGUAAGUCCAUCCGGGGUCUUCACAGGGUACUGCCCUAGCACCUUACUGGAGGCCAGGCUUACGGCACCGGCGGUUAUCAGCCUAAGAUUGAGCUAGGAUCCAAACCCACUCUCACUCCUCAGGAGCGAGGGUAGAGGUAAGGAUGACAUUUAAGUCAUUCCAAGUAAGAUUAUAGGACUGGGUUAAGUAUUGGAAUUCUCGUAUAUAUUUGGUGGGGUCAGAUGGGAAAGAGCCUAGAUGUUCACUAAUUUGGGAAAGGUCGAACAGGGAGAAAGGGACCUGAACCCGAACUAUUCCUUUGGUUCCUGCCACCUCUCCGAGGGGAAAUUGCUAGGCAGGGGCCUGGGGGUUGGUCGCAGGCCCAAACUGUAAGCCAUAGAGGAUGUGAGGAAGGGUGGUAAUGGGAGGGGCAUAAGAGGGUGGAUUGUGGGUAGAAAUAGGUUCUGGGGGAGAAUUAGAAGCAGGUUCGGAUAGGUGGUGGGGGAGAAAGAUCGGAGGGGUCAACAGACAAAGAGGAGUCAGCAUCGCCAGUGGAAGAAGGAGGGGUAGACAGAAGGGAAAUAAGGAAAAUUGGGGAUGGAUUACAUUGGAAGCAUAGGCUAGGGAGAGAUCGUAUGUAAAAAAUGCCUGGAAGUAGGGUACCUCAGACCCAUUUGCCCAUUUUUCCAUAGAAGUUGUCUAAGUCCCACAAAAUAGAGAAAUUGGAAGUGCUGUUUUCUGGCCACUGAGCGCCAUUUUCUAAUUUAUACUGGGGCCAGGACGUGUUACAGAAAAAAAUUAGACGUUUAGCCUUUAGAUUGGGUGCAAGGUGAAGAGGUUUGAGGUUUCUGAGGACACAAGCCAGACAGAAGAAAGAGGGAUGGAAGGCGGGAAAUUGCCCAUGAUAGAACAAGGAAAGACUGGGGGGAAAGAAAGAGACAAGGAAAAGAGCAACCACUAGGAUCCUCAGUGGGCGUCCCCAUUGGAGGUCCUGGGUUGUGUGGCUGGCAAAUGGCCAAGGCGGGCGUCCCGGGCAUUGACCGAACACUGAAGGAAGGCUGUCUCCCCAAGAAGAGUCCGUGACCGGUGUUGGAUUUCUGAAACACGGAUAAGAGGAAGGUUCUUUGUCUCAAUUUUGAAAAGAGAAAAAGAGAGGGAGAGAUGAGGAGAGACCGAGGUCCUGAGGGCGAGGGAAGUCUCUUGCAUGGGAGAACGUGGGUACCGGGAGGAUAGAGGAGAGGUCUGCCGGAGGAGUUCCCCUAUCCCGGGCUUUCGGCACCAAAUGUUAUGCGAGCAUCUAAUUGAAGAGACAACUUGAACAGGCUAAGUGUGAGCAACAAAGGCUGUUUAUUCACCCGGGUGCGAGUGGGCUGAGUGCGAAGGAAGUCAGUGGAGGGUGGUGGGU